rnacentral:rRNA from 1 species
UACGUAGGUGGCAAGCGUUGUCCGGAAUUAUUGGGCGUAAAGCGCGCGCAGGUGGUUUCUUAAGUCUGAUGUGAAAGCCCACGGCUCAACCGUGGAGGGUCAUUGGAAACUGAGGAACUUGAGUGCAGGAGAGAAGAGUGGAAUUCCACGUGUAGCGGUGAAAUGCGUAGAGAUGUGGAGGAACACCAGUGGCGAAGGCGACUCUUUGGCCUGUAACUGACACUGAGGCGCGAAAGCGUGGGGAGCAAACAGG